rnacentral:rRNA from 1 species
GUGGGGAAUAUUGGACAAUGGGCGAAAGCCUGAUCCAGCCAUGCCGCGUGUGUGAAGAAGGUCUUCGGAUUGUAAAGCACUUUAAGUCGGGAGGAAGGGCAGUAAGUUAAUACCUUGCUGUUUUGACGUUACCGACAGAAUAAGCACCGGCUAACUUCGUGCCAGCAGCCGCGGUAAUACGAAGGGUGCAAGCGUUAAUCGGAAUUACUGGGCGUAAAGCGCGCGUAGGUGGUUUUGUAAGUUGGAGGUGAAAUCCCCGGGCUCAACCUGGGAACUGCCUCCAAAACUGCAUGACUAGAGUACGGUAGAGGGUAGUGGAAUUUCCUGUGUAGCGGUGAAAUGCGUAGAUAUAGGAAGGAACACCAGUGGCGAAGGCGACUACCUGGACUGAUACUGACACUGAGGUGCGAAAGCGUGGGGAGCAAACAGGAUUAGAAACCCUAGUAGUCC